AUACGGAGGAUGCGAGCGUUAUCCGGAUUUAUUGGGUUUAAAGGGAGCGUAGGUGGAUUGUUAAGUCAGUUGUGAAAGUUUGCGGCUCAACCGUAAAAUUGCAGUUGAAACUGGCAGUCUUGAGUACAGUAGAGGUGGGCGGAAUUCGUGGUGUAGCGGUGAAAUGCUUAGAUAUCACGAAGAACUCCGAUCGCGAAGGCAGCUCACCGGGCCGGAACUGACACUGAUGCUCGAAAGUGCGGGUAUCAAACAGGAUUAGAUACCCUGGUAGUCCGCACAGUAAACGAUGAAUACUCGCUGUUUGCGAUACACGGUAAGCGGCCAAGCGAAAGCGUUAAGUAUUCCACCUGGGGAGUACGCCGGCAACGGUGAAACUCAAAUGAAUUGGCGGGG
rnacentral:rRNA from 1 species